GACGAACGCUGGCGGCGCGCUUAACACAUGCAAGUCGAGCGAGAACCAGCCCUUCGGGGCUGGGGACAGCGGCGAACGGGUGAGUAACACGUGGGUAAUCUGCCCUCGGCACCGGGAUAGCCCGGGGAAACCCGGAUUAAUACCGGAUGGCCUCUCGAGCUCUCGGGCUCGUGAGAAAAGGUAGCUUCGGCCUCCGGCCGAGGCGGAGCCCGCGGCGGAUUAGCUUGUUGGUGGGGUAACGGCCCACCAAGGCGACGAUCCGUAGCUGGUCUGAGAGGACGAUCAGCCACACUGGGACUGAGACACGGCCCAGACUCCUACGGGAGGCAGCAGUGGGGAAUCUUGCGCAAUGGGCGAAAGCCUGACGCAGCGACGCCGCGUGAGGGAAGAAGGCCUUCGGGCUGUAAACCUCUUUCAGGAGGGACGAAGCCACUCGGGUUAAUAGCCCAGAGGGUGACGGUACCUCCAGAAGAAGCCCCGGCUAACUACGUGCCAGCAGCCGCCGUAAGAC
rnacentral:rRNA from 1 species